GCAAGAAGUGUGUAAAAGUUAUGGUCAGCCUCAGAGAACAGCCCCAUUGACCAAGCCAAAAUAGCCUUUGUGUCCUAGGAAUCACCCCUGCCCCGUAUUACUACACAAAGAGCUGCUGAAAUACGACACAACACAUCUGCUUCUCUCAUUUCCACACAUGUACACUUAAAUUCCAGUUUCUAGGUUCUCACAGGAGCUAGAACUCACAGAAACGCUUCAGGAUCAACAUCAAGCAUGCCUGCAAACUACAGUGGAACCUGGGACAUAGUGGACAAUGAAAACUUUGAAGGUUUCAUGGUUACUCUUGGAAUUGAUUUCGCCACCCGAAAGAUAGCGGGGAUGCUAAAGCCACAGAAAAUAUUUGAGCAAGAUGGAGACUCUUUCACUAUUAAAACUUUAACAACUUUCCGAAACUACUCCACUUCAUUCAAAAUUGGAGAAGAGUUUGAGGAAAUCACCAAAGGACUGGACAACAGAAAAUGCAAGACAACAGUCAACUGGGAAAACGACAAACUUGUGUGUGUCCAGAAAGGAGAGAAAAAGAACAGAGGAUGGACACACUGGAUGGAGGGAGACACUCUUUACCUUGAACUUAAAUGUGAAGACCAGAUCUGCAAGCAAACCUACAAAAGAACAGCUUGAACUACUGUGUUGAACUGAAUUUGUUGUCAUGUUUAUUGAUUACAUACAAUAACAUAACAAGAAAUGAAAAAGUAAACAACAGAGAAAACCUACAAGUGCAUUCAAGAAGAAUGGACACACUGGAUGGAGGGGGACACUCUUUACCUUAGGCUUAAAGCUGCUGUUCACUACACUGUCGGCUCUCUCUGUCAACACAUCGCCGCAGACUGCGAGAAACAAAUCACCAAACAGACAAUAGCAGCUAUUGCAGAGACUGCAUUCAGACAGUGUG